rnacentral:rRNA from 1 species
AUUGAACGCUGGCGGCAGGCCUAACACAUGCAAGUCGAACGAGUGGCGGACGGAUGAGUAAUGUCUGGGAAACUGCCUGAUGGAGGGGGAUAACUACUGGAAACGGUAGCUAAUACCGCAUACCAUCAUAUAUGCCCAGAUGGGAUGAGCUAGUUGGUGGGGUAACGGCUCACCAAGGCGACGAUCCCUAGCUGGUCUGCGAGGAUUACCAGCAACACGGGAACGGAGACACGGUCCAGACUCCUACGGGAGGCAGCAGUGGGGAAUAUUGUACAAUGGGCGCAAGCCUGAUGCAGCCAGGACGCGUGUAUGAAGAAGGCCUUCGGGUUGUAAAGUACUUUCAGCGGGGAGGCGUUACCCGCAGAAGAAGCACCGGCUAACUCCGUGCCAGCAGCCGCGGUAAUAC